rnacentral:lncRNA from 1 species
GGCGCGGUCGCCGGCAGGGUGAUAGUGCAGAGAAUCCUGUGUUUUGCAUUUGCGAAGUUGAAGGUAAAAAAUUGAAGGCUUCGAUUAUGACAUCGUGGACGGAAGAUAAUCCGGGUAGGAGAUUCUAUGGAUGUAGGAAUUGGAAGGUAUGUUUAUAUUCAAAUCUUGUUUCGGUGUUAUUGAGUUUGUCGGCUUAAAAAUUCCAUUCUUUUUAGGCUAGGAACUGCGGUUUUUUUGAUUGGAUUGACGCCCCCAUAACUGAAAGAGCUAAGGAGGUUAUCAACGACUUGAAGAGUGAAAAUUUGAAGUUGAUGAAGGUGAAGCAUGAGAGCUCCAAAACAGAGACCAUGGAUGUGGAGCUUGAAAUUGAAAGGCUUUGGGGUGCUAUGCAAACUAUGAAGGAAGAUUCGAAGAAGAUGAUGAAGAAAACUAGCUUAGUUUCAUUUCUUUUUGUUGCUUCAUGGGUUGCGAUUGCGUAUUAUGCAAUAGCAUAAUGCAUGUAUGUAUUGGUUAUUUGCCCUUUUCUUGAGCCCCCUGUAAUGAAAGGCUUAAUGCCCUUUUUUGGAAAUGAGAUGGGA